CCCUGGGAUCCCCAGUGUUCUCAUUGCCAGAUCAGGACUGAACACAGAUCACUCACUAUGGAGUUUGGGCUUGGCUGGGUUUUCCUUGUGGCUCUUUUAAGAGGUGUCCAGUGUGAGGUGCAGCUGGUGGAGUCUGGAGGAGGCUUGGUGCAGCCUGGAGGGUCUCUGAGACUCUCCUGUGCAGCCUCUGGAUUCACCUUCAGGAGCUACGGGAUGAGCUGGAUCCGCCAGGCUCCAGGGAAGGGGCUGGAGUGGGUGGCAGUUAUAUGGAAUGAUGGAAGUCAGAAAUAUUAUGCAGACUCUGUGAAGGGCCGAUUCACCAUCUCCAGAGACAACGACAAGAACACGUUGUAUCUUCAAAUGAACAGCCUGGGAUCCCAGGACAUGGCCAUAUAUUACUGUGUGAGAGACACAGUGAGGGGAACUUCUUCAACUGUCCCCAAGUUGGUGGAGAUGUCCUCCGAGUCGUCCGUGAUCUCUGUGGCGGCGGUGGUGGCACAAGCACUAGUGGACCGAUUCGUAGCCUCUUGA